CCUACGGGAGGCAGCAGUAGGGAAUCUUCCACAAUGGACGAAAGUCUGAUGGAGCAACACCGCGUGAGUGAAGAAGGGUUUCGGCUCGUAAAGCUCUGUUGGUAGUGAAGAAAGAUAGAGGUAGUAACUGGCCUUGAUUUGACGGUAAUUACUUAGAAAGUCACGGCUAACUACGUGCCAGCAGCCGCGGUAAUACGUAGGUGGCAAGCGUUGUCCGGAUUUAUUGGGCGUAAAGCGUGUGCAGGCGGUUCAAUAAGUCUGAGGUGAAAGCCUGCGGCUCAACCGGAGAAUUGCAUCAGAAACUGUUGAACUUGGGUGCAGAAGAGGAGAGUGGAACUCCAGGUGUAGCGGUGGAAUGCGUGGAUAUAUGGAAGAACACCAGUGGCGAAGGCGGCUCUCUGGUCUGCAACUGACGCUGAGGCUCGAAAGCAUGGGUAGCGAACAGGAUUAGAUACCCGAGUAGU
rnacentral:rRNA from 1 species